GUUUCCAUGUUGUAACAGAAAUUUGUCUUUUUGAGACAAUCAGGGGAGCCGCAUUACAGCAGGACUUGCAAAGAUUCGUGUUUGUGUCUAGUGGCUGCAAAUGCAUUAACUCUUUCAGGUGAACUUCUCUGUGAGUGCCGUGAUUUCUUCUACACUGAAUUUGGUGGACCUCUGAAAAAUAAUAUUCAAUUCAAGUAUUAACUCUGAAAAAUCCUGAGCUCUUCCAAAACGUGUUGAUUACUCUACUGAUGGACGAGGUGGCAAAGAGGAGAGGUAUCUGGCAUGGUGCAGGAUCCCAGCUGAUGUGACCUGAGGCUGUUGGUGAAUUCACCCCCAAAUCACUUCCUAACCAUCUGAUCUUCAGGAGCUCCUUGUGGAAACACUUUCUUUGGUGUUUUUUCGCAUUCUUUCUCUGCCUCCUGAGAUGAAAUUCACCUUCGCUGCUGGAUCAUUGAAACGGCAUCUGUCACUUGGAGGGAGACAAAUUCCAGUUGCUGGGGCUGAUCCUGGCAGCACUGCACAUGCAAGUGACAUGCAGCUCAUCGGGAUGGCCUAGCCUGUGAAAGCCAGGGGUGGGCACCUCAAGAUGUCAACCCAGGUGGGGACAGAGGUGGAAACAUCAGGAAAGAAGGAAAUAAUUAGUAACGACUCACCUGAUAUUAAAUCACCUUGUCCUCCUGCUUUAUUGCUCUGGUUAUGGUAGGUCCUGCCAAGCAACAGAACCCAUGUGGGAGAGGGAUGCUCCCUGAGAUAGUGAGAGGAGAUGUCUCCUGCCUCCUAAUGCUGUGAUGAGCAGUUACGGAUCAGAAUAUACUAACAUGGCUUUUUAACAGCUCUUUGAAACCCAAGACCCUCUCUGGCAGUUGUGGGGCUACCAAUAUGAGAGGUGAC